AUGACAAAGAGUAGUGCAGAGUGAGUAGUUUUUGUUAAAAUUAUUAGUAAUUAAUGUUAAAAAUGUAUGGUAGUUGAUUAAUGAACUAAUAAAUAUUCUUGCUAGUAUUAUAAACAUGGCAAUAAGUUUGUUUGUAACAUUUUGGCAUCUUACCAAUUUAACCAAUCAUUAUAACAUUUGGUUUACAAGUAUAUGUCGUGAUGGAGUAGGCCACAAUGAAUACUUCAUUGUUAGAAAAGCAGAGAACGAGUACGGCUUGUGGCUCGAAGUAGGCUCGCAACGAGCUACGCGGUUACGCACCGUUUGCGUGGGAAUCACCUAAUCAGAGAUUUGUCGUCAAACCUGUGACUACCGCAAUCUCAAUCGGACGUCAAGAAGUGAUUCUAAUUCAGCUUGCGAGAUUUGGCCUAAACAAACUAUCAUACAUUCUAAGUUGUAAAAAUACCUUUUCACAAGAUUCUAUAAAUAAAGAAGAGUAUACCAUAAGAAAUACCAGACUCACAUUUGGACUGCUGAUUUGAUCUGGGUGUCAUAGCACACUGAGAAAGCUAGAGUAAAAAGAGAUUCUCCCGAAGCUUCUAUCUGCGUUCUCCUCAUGAGCAGGAGAAGAGCCGUCUUCGUCUCGUUCAGUGUUUUUAAUA